rnacentral:tRNA from 1 species
GAACGUAUGGCUUAGUGGUCAGAGUGCUUCGACGGUCAACAGGAGGCGCGGGUUCAAAUGCCGUUAUGUUCA